rnacentral:rRNA from 1 species
GACGAACGCUGGCGGCGUGCUUAACACAUGCAAGUCGAACGGAUAGGCUCCAGUUUUCUGGUGUGCAUGAGUGGCGAACGGGUGAGUAACACGUGAGUAACCUGCCCUAGACUUUGGGAUAAGCUCAGGAAACUGCGUCUAAUACCGGAUACGAGCUCCUGCUGCAUGGUUUUGGUCUGGAAGUUUCUUCGGUUGGGGAUGGGCUCGCGGCUUAUCAGCUUGUUGGUGUGGUAGUGGCUUACCAAGGCGUUGACGGGUAGCCGGCCUGAGAGGGUGACCGGCCACAGUGGGACUGAGAUACGGCCCAGACUCCUACGGGAGGCAGCAGUGGGGAAUAUUGCACAAUGGGCGAAAGCCUGAUGCAGCAACGCCGCGUGAGGGAUGACGGCCUUAGGGUUGUAAACCGCUUUCGGCAGGGAAGAAGCGUGAGUGACGGUAAUGGGUAAAGAAGCACCGGCUAACUACGUG